rnacentral:misc_RNA from 1 species
GUAGGUGAACCUGCGGAAGGAUCAUUAUCAUAACGUAUCCACGUAUAAACCAAUAAUAUAAUGUGAAUUGUAAUGUUUUACAGCCUUUGAUAAUUAAUGAUUGCUAUUCAGCUUUUGUCUGUGAUUAAGGACAAUUUGAAUAGACUUGGGAUUAUAGCAAUAUAAUCUCUAGCAUUAACUAUUGAAGUGUAAAUUUAAUCAAUAUUAACCAAUUGAACCGAUUAACUUAAUUGUUAUUCAUUCUUUUAUU